GAACAUAAGAGUUUGAUCCUGGCUCAGAUUGAACGCUGGCGGCAUGCUUUACACAUGCAAGUCGGACGGCAGCACGAGUACUUGUACUUGGUGGCGAGUGGCGAACGGGUGAGUAAUAUAUUGGAACGUACCGAGUAAUGGGGGAUAACUAUCCGAAAGGAUGGCUAAUACCGCAUACGCUUUGAGAAGGAAAGCAGGGGAUCUUCGGACCUUGCGU
rnacentral:rRNA from 1 species